GGGAAAAGAUGUUAAAGAGAAAUAGUAACAGAUUGAAUUACUGAGCAAUAAAAAGAGUAAUGGACUUGAGACACUGAGUAAGAAAUUCAGAAAUGGCAUAAUAAAUUCAGAGAGGAAAGGGAAGUGAAUUAGAAGGUGAAGAAAAUAUCAAAAGAGGUCAUGAUGGCAGAAAUGAGUGAAGGAUGGGAAGAAGAUAAGGCAACGCUUCAGAAUCAAAUAAAGAAAAUGAAAUUCCAGUUUAAAAAUGAACAGAAAGUAUUUACCAUCAAGUUUGAACAAAGAUUGCUUAACUUACAACAAGAAAAUAAAGUUUUGUUAAAGUUAACUAAUGACCUAUGCAAAGAAGGAAUCAAGCAAAGAAAGUA
rnacentral:misc_RNA from 1 species